rnacentral:lncRNA from 1 species
CGCGGCUCGGCUCGGCCCAGCCCUCCCCUGCGCAGCCCGGGUCGCAGCAGGGCUCACCCUGCCACCGCAAGUCGAGCAGCAGCCACCCGAGAGCCCGAGCUUCGGCCGAGGUCACUGCGGGCAAGCCCAGGGAGCUGACGCAUGCUCGGUAACAGCCAAGCCGCUGGUUGAGCCGGGGAACGACGCUUUGUGACCCUCCCCCUCCGCCGCCCUUAUCCUGAGUGGCUCAGCGCCCGGGCUGCUCGUGAAGGUCACAAUGGCCACGCGCGGAGCGUGCAGCGCUGGCAGCCAGGGGAGGGGAAGGGAAGGGCCUGCAGCCCCGGGGAAAGAAGCUGCUCCCAGCGGGGAAAAUAGCCAAAGAGUGAAGUAACAAUGACACAGCUUAAUAUAUCAUGAUGAAUCAGAUCCAUGCAGAAAGAAGACUGCUCCCAUUGGGUUUAAGUGAUGAAGAAAGAAAAGAAAAAGAAAACAAACUAAACCAGAGAAUUGCAGAAGAGUCACCUCUUUCCCCCAAACUGGACAAAUAUAAGCUGGCAAGAUUUUUAGCUGACAAGGCAAUCAGGGUAUGUGUGUUGACAAUAGAUUUUAGUGGUUUGUUUUUCCAUUUACGAUACUGAGCUAAUAGGUUUU